rnacentral:rRNA from 1 species
GAGUUUGAUCAUGGCUCAGGACGAACGCUGGCGGCGUGCUUAACACAUGCAAGUCGAACGGUGAUGGGGAGCUUGCUCCUCUGAUCAGUGGCGAACGGGUGAGUAACACGUGAGUAACCUGCCCUUCACUCUGGGAUAACUCCGGGAAACCGGGGCUAAUACUGGAUAUGACCUACUCGGGCAUCCGAAGUGGGUGGAAAGAUUUAUUGGUGGGGGAUGGACUCGCGGCCUAUCAGCUUGUUGGUGAGGUAAUGGCUUACCAAGGCGACGACGGGUAGCCGGCCUGAGAGGGCGAUCGGCCACACUGGGACUGAGACACGGCCCAGACUCCUACGGGAGGCAGCAGUGGGGAAUAUUGCACAAUGGGCGAAAGCCUGAUGCAGCGACGCCGCGUGAGGGAUUAAGGCCUUCGGGUUGUAAACCUCUUUCAGCAGGGAAGAAGCGAAAGUGACGGUACCUGCAGAAGAAGCACCGGCUAACUACGUGCCAGCAGCCGCGGUAAUACGUAGGGUGCAAGCGUUGUCCGGAAUUAUUGGGCGUAAAGAGCUUGUAGGCGGUUUGUCGCGUCUGCUGUGAAAUUUCGGGGCUCAACCCCGAACUUGCAGUGGGUACGGG